GAAGAAAAGAGCAUUGUACAUAGCAGAAUGGACACUCAGGAAGAAACCAUUUCACAUGGUGAGUGGCACUUAUGAGGAACAAAGAAGUGGAAAGAGGUCGCUUGCCUCUUUUGUGAAUAAUGUGGUAAGAUGAGGCUGGAAGGUCCUGCCCCUGGAAUACAUCCCCUUUUCUGGAGGUUGGAGUGGAGAGCGGUAGAAUGAACCCAGAGCACAAUUACACAAGAAGGGU
rnacentral:lncRNA from 1 species